UGUUAUGGCCAUAUCACCCUGAACACUCUUGAUCUUUUCUGAUCUCAGAAGCUAAGCAGGGUAGGGCCUGGUUUGUAGAGAGCAGGUAGCAGGAUCCU
rnacentral:rRNA from 1 species